UGACUNGAGUGCAGAAGGGGAGAGUGGAAUUCCAUGUGUAGCGGUGAAAUGCGUAGAUAUAUGGAGGAACACCAGUGGCGAAAGCGGCUCUCUGGUCUGUCACUGACGCUGAGGCUNGAAAGCGUGGGUAGCGAACAGGAUUAGAUACCCUGGUAGUCCACGCCGUAAACGAUGAGUGCUAGGUGUUAGGCCCUUUCCGGGGCUUAGUGCCGGAGCUAACGCAAUAAGCACUCCGCCUGGGGAGUACGACCGCAAGGUUGAAACUCAAAGGAAUUGACGGGGGCCCGCACAAGCGGUGGAGCAUGUGGUUUAAUUCGAAGCAACGCGAAGAACCUUACCAGGUCUUGACAUCCCGAUGCUAUUCUUAGAGAUAGGAAGUUACUUCGGUACAUCGGAGACAGGUGGUGCAUGGUUGUCGUCAGCUCGUGUCGUGAGAUGUUGGGUUAAGUCCCGCAACGAGCGCAACCCUUAUUGUUAGUUGCCAUCAUUAAGUUGGGCACUCUAGCGAGACUGCCGGUAAUAAACCGGAGGAAGGUGGGGAUGACGUCAAAUCAUCAUGCCCCUUAUGACCUGGGCUACACACGUGCUACAAUGGUCGGUACAACGAGUUGCGAGCCGGUGACGGCAAGCUAAUCUCUGAAAGCCGAUCUCAGUUCGGAUUGGAGGCUGCA
rnacentral:rRNA from 1 species